rnacentral:rRNA from 1 species
GAUGAACGCUGGCGGCGUGCCUAAUACAUGCAAGUCGAGCGAACAGACGAGGCGCUUGCUCCUCUGACGUUAGCGGCGGACGGGUGAGUAACACGUGGAUCACCUACCUAUAAGACUGGGAUAACUUCGGGAAACCGGAGCUAAUCCCGGAUAACAUGUUGAACCGCAUGGUUCAACAGUGAAAGACGGUCUUGCUGUCACUUCUAGAUGGAUCCGCGCCGUAUUAGCUGGUUGGUAAGGUAACGGCUUACCAAGGCAACGAUGCGUGGCCGACCUGAGAGGGUGAUCGGCCACACGGGAACUGAGACACGGUCAAGACUCCUACGGGAGGCAGCAGUAGGGAACGUGCCGCAAUGGGCGAAAGCCUGACGGAGCAACGCCGCGUGAGUGAUGAAGGCCUUCGGAUCGUAAAACUCUGUUAUUAGGGAAGAACAAAUGUGUAAGUAACUAUGCACGUCUUGACGGUACCUAAUCAGAAAGCCACGGCUAACUACGUG